rfam:Streptomyces mobaraensis NBRC 13819 = DSM 40847 contig105, whole genome shotgun sequence.
CGAGCCGGCCGGGCGGCCGCGUGGGAUCUUCGGAUCCCCCGAGGAACGUCCGGGCUCCACACGGCAGGGUGGUGGGUAACGCCCACCCGGGGUGACCCGCGGGACAGUGCCACAGAAAACAGACCGCCGGGGAUCUUCGGAUUCCCGGUAAGGGUGAAACGGUGGUGUAAGAGACCACCAGCGCCUGGGGUGACCCAGGCGGCUAGGUAAACCCCACCCGGAGCAAGGUCAAGAGGGGCCGCCUUCACCGGCGGCCCUGCGCGGACGAUCGAGGGCUGCCCGCCCGAGUCCGCGGGUAGACCGCACGAGCCUGCCGGCAACGGCAGGCCUAGAUGGAUGGCCGCCUCCCCCGGGCCCGCGAGGACCCGAGGAGACAGAACCCGGCGUACAGGCCGACUCGUCCG